rnacentral:rRNA from 2 species
UUUAUGGAGAGUUUGAUCCUGGCUCAGAGUGAACGCUGGCGGCGUGCCUAAUACAUGCA